rnacentral:rRNA from 1 species
GACGAACGCUGGCGGCGUGCUUAACACAUGCAAGUCGAACGGAAAGGCCCUGCUUUUGUGGGGUGCUCGAGUGGCGAACGGGUGAGUAACACGUGAGUAACCUGCCCUUGACUUUGGGAUAACUUCAGGAAACUGGGGCUAAUACCGGAUAGGAGCUCUUGCUGCAUGUUGGGGGUUGGAAAGUUUCGGCGGUUGGGGAUGGACUCGCGGCUUAUCAGCUUGUUGGUGUGGUAGUGGCUUACCAAGGCUUUGACGGGUAGCCGGCCUGAGAGGGUGACCGGCGACAUGGGGACUGAGAGACGGACCAGACGGCUACGGGAGGCAGCAGGGGGGAGUAUUGCACAGUGGGCGGAAGCCUGAUGCAGAAACGCCGCGUGCGGGAUGACGGCCUUCGGGGUGUAAACCGCUUUCGACUGUGACGAAGCGUGAGUGACGGUAAUGGGUAAAGAAGCAACGGCUAACUACGUG